rnacentral:rRNA from 1 species
UACGGGGGGGCAAGCGUUGUUCGGAAUUACUGGGCGUAAAGGGCUCGUAGGUGGCCAAUUAAGUCAGACGUGAAAUCCCCAGGCUUAACCUGGGAACUGCGUCUGAUACUGGUUGGCUUGAAUUCGGGAGAGGGAUGCAGAAUUCCAGGUGUAGCGGUGAAAUGCGUAGAUAUCUGGAGGAAUACCGGUGGCGAAGGCGGCAUCCUGGACCGAGAUUGACACUGAGGAGCGAAAGCCAGGGAGCAAACGGG